GUUUCUGUUCGAGAGGAUGGAUUCACCCGAGAUUCUUGCCUUCUUCAUGGGUCGCAAACUCAACCGUGCACUGGUGAGGAAGUUGAAGAUUACUAUGAUCAUUGUUAACGGAUUGAUUGAUCAAGCUGAGGAGAAGCAGAUUGUUAUGCGUUCUGAGAAGAAGUGGCUCGAUGAGCUCAAAGAUGCCGCCUAUGAGGCCGAUGACUUAUUCGAUGAGAUUGCUUAUGAAGCUCUG
rnacentral:misc_RNA from 1 species